rnacentral:piRNA from 1 species
UAACCUAAAAACGUUAUCUCUGGUGCAC